rnacentral:rRNA from 1 species
AUUGAACGCUAGCGGGAUGCCUUACACAUGCAAGUCGAACGGAGUGGCGAACGGGUGAGUAAUGUAUCGGAACGUGCCCAGUAGCGGGGGAUAACUACGCGAAAGCGUAGCUAAUACCGCAUACUAUUGGAGCGGCCGUUAGCGGCUUAGCUAGUUGGUGGGGUAACGGCACCCAAAGGCGACGAUCCGUAGCUGGUUUGAGAGGACGACCAGCCAAACUGGGACUGAGCCACGGCCCAGACUCCUACGGGAGGCAGCAGUGGGGAAUUUUGGACAAUGGGGGAAAGCCUGAUGCAGCCAUCCCGCGUGGGCGAUGAAGGCCUUCGGGUUGGAAAGCACUUUUGGCGGGGAAGCGGUACCUGCAGAAUAAGCACCGGCUAACUCCGUGCCAGCAGCCGCGGUAAUUC